rnacentral:rRNA from 1 species
GCGGAAGGGCGCGUCUACCAUGCAGUCGACGAUGAAGCCCAGCUUGCUGGGUGGAAGAGUGGCGAACGGGUGAGUAACACGUGAGUAACCUGCCCCGGACUCUGGGAUAAGCGCUGGAAACGGCGUCUAAUACUGGAUAUGACCCAUACCGGCAUCGGUUGUGGGUGGAAAGAUUUAUCGGUUCGGGAUGGGCUCGCGGCCUAUCAGCUGGAUGGUGAGGUAACGGCUCACCAUGGCGACGACGGGUAGCCGGCCUGAGAGGGUGACCGGCCACACUGGGACUGAGACACGGCCCAGACUCCUACGGGAGGCAGCAGUGGGGAAUAUUGCACAAUGGGCGAAAGCCUGAUGCAGCAACGCCGCGUGAGGGAUGACGGCCUUCGGGUUGUAAACCUCUUUUAGUAGGGAGGAAGCGAAAGUGACGGUACCUGCAGAAAAAGCACCGGCUAACUACGUGCCAGCAGCCGCGGUAA